AGAAUUGAUCUGGUUCAGGAUGAACGCUGGCGGCGUGCCUAACACAUGCAAGUCGAACGGAGUGUCGAGAGCUUGCUUUUGACACUUAGUGGCGGACGGGUGAGUAAUGUGUGAGCAACCUGCCUUUCAGAGGGGGACAACAGUUGGAAACGACUGCUAAUACCGCAUAACAUAUUUGGGCGGCAUCGCCUGGAUAUCAAAGGAGCAAUCCGCUGAAAGAUGGGCUCACAUCUGAUUAGCUAGUUGGUGAGGUAACGGCUCACCAAGGCUGCGAUCAGUAGCCGGACUGAGAGGUUGAACGGCCACAUUGGGACUGAGAUACGGCCCAGACUCCUACGGGAGGCAGCAGUGGGGAAUAUUGGGCAAUGGGCGAAAGCCUGACCCAAGCAACGCCGCGUGAAGGAAGAAGGUCUUCGGAUUGUAAACUUCUUUUAUGAGGGACGAAGGACGUGACGGUACCUCAUGAAUAAGCCACGGCUAACUACGUGCCAGCAGCUGC
rnacentral:rRNA from 1 species